rnacentral:rRNA from 1 species
AGCCGCGGUAAGACGUAGGGCGCAAGCGUUGUCCGGAUUUAUUGGGCGUAAAGAGCUCGUAGGCGGCCUGUCGCGUCGAUCGUGAAAGUCCACGGCUCAACUGUGGGAUUGCGGUCGAUACGGGCAGGCUAGAGUGCGGCAGGGGAGACUGGAAUUCCUGGUGUAGCGGUGAAAUGCGCAGAUAUCAGGAGGAACACCGGUGGCGAAGGCGGGUCUCUGGGCCGUUACUGACGCUGAGGAGCGAAAGCGUGGGGAGCGAACAGGAUUAGAUACCCUGGUAGUCCACGCUGUAAACGUUGGGCGCUAGGUGUGGGGACCCUUCCCGGGUUUCUGUGCCGUAGCUAACGCAUUAAGCGCCCCGCCUGGGGAGUACGGCCGCAAGGCUAAAACUCAAAGGAAUUGACGGGGGCCCGCACAAGCGGCGGAGCAUGCGGAUUAAUUCGAUGCAACGCGAAGAACCUUACCUGGGUUUGACAUGCCGGGAAAUCCUCCAGAGAUGGGGGGUGCCUUCGGGCGUCCGGCACAGGUGGUGCAUGGCC